CUCCAAGACAAAAGGCUAUUGAACUUUUUUCACAAUGUAGGUUUUGUGAUUUGUGGUAACUAAUAAGGCAAGGACAUCAGACAUGUAAUGCUGUGAUUCAAUGAGGAUAUAUAAGAUCAAAGCUAACUCAAAUAUGGAGGAAGUUGCUGUCAUUGCUAUUGGCCCUCAUGAUUUGUCCAAAGACCAGCAUUAGGAAUUUUAGAACUCAAAAGUUUAUAAGAAUCAAAAAAGAUUUGAUGAAACCUAUCAUUUCAUGGAAACAAAACCAUCAUAUACUUCAGGAGAAAAAAAACCAAUGAAACCCAACAACAACAGCAACAAAAAAAAUCAAACAAACAAACUACCACAACAAAAACAAAGAAAAAUCAACCUAAGCCAGAUCUUGGAUGGAAAUAUUCGAAACAGCCAAUAUAUAGGACAAAGAUAAGAAUGAGACACUCUUUUGUUAGGCCAGAAGGCACUGAAUUAUGUCUUCAUAUUUCUGGAAAACAUAGAUUAAUAUAUCCAGUGAUAGUAAAAGUUAUUGAAAUAUUUUUUCAGAUGGAAAAAUCUGAGAGAAUUCAGAACUGGAGAACUAUAAAGGAGGCCUUCAGGAAGACUGAAAAGGA